rnacentral:rRNA from 1 species
UACAGCGGGUGCAAGCGUUAAUCGGAAUUACUGGGCGUAAAGCGUGCGUAGACGGUUACAUAAGUCGGGUGUGAAAGCCCCGGGCUCAACCUGGGAAUUGCAUUCGAGACUGCGUAGCUAGGGUGCGGAAGAGGGAAGCGGAAUUUCCGGUGUAGCGGUGAAAUGCGUAGAUAUCGGGAGGAACAUCAGUGGCGAAGGCGGCUGCCUGGCCCAAUACUGACACUCAGGUGCGACAGCGUGGGGAGCAAACAGG